rnacentral:rRNA from 1 species
GCCUAAUACAUGCAAGUCGAGCGGACCGGAUUGGGGCUUGCCUUGAUUCGGUCAGCGGCGGACGGGUGAGUAACACGUGGGCAACCUGCCCGCAAGACCGGGAUAACUCCGGGAAACCGGAGCUAAUACCAGAUAACACCGAAGACCGCAUGGCCUUCGGUUGAAAAGCGGCCUUUGGGCUGUCACUUGCGGAUGGGCCCGCGGCGCAUUAGCUAGUUGGUGAGGUAACGGCUCACCAAGGCGACGAUGCGUAGCCGGCCUGAGAGGGUGACCGGCCACACUGGGACUGAGACACGGCCCAGACUCCUACGGGAGGCAGCAGUAGGGAAUCUUCCGCAAUGGGCGAAAGCCUGACGGAGCGACGCCGCGUGAGCGAAGAAGGCCUUCGGGUCGUAAAGCUCUGUUGUGAGGGACGAAGGAGCGCCGUUCGAAGAGGGCGGCGCGGUGACGGUACCUCACGAGAAAGCCCCGGCUAACUACGUGCCAGCAGCCGCGGUAAUACGUAGGGGGCGAGCGUUGUCCGGAAUUAUUGGGCGUAAAGCGCGCGCAGGCGGUCUCUUAAGUCUGA